GAUGAACGCUGGCGGCGUGCCUAAUACAUGCAAGUCGAGCGAACAGACGAGGAGCUUGCUCCUCUGAUGUUAGCGGCGGACGGGUGAGUAACACGUGGAUAACCUACCUAUAAGACUGGGAUAACUUCGGGAAACCGGAGCUAAUACCGGAUAAUAUAUUGAACCGCAUGGUUCAAUAGUGAAAGACGGUUUUGCUGUCACUUAUAGAUGGAUCCGCGCCGCAUUAGCUAGUUGGUAAGGUAACGGCUUACCAAGGCAACGAUGCGUAGCCGACCUGAGAGGGUGAUCGGCCACACUGGAACUGAGACACGGUCCAGACUCCUACGGGAGGCAGCAGUAGGGAAUCUUCCGCAAUGGGCGAAAGCCUGACGGAGCAACGCCGCGUGAGUGAUGAAGGUCUUCGGAUCGUAAAACUCUGUUAUUAGGGAAGAACAAAUGUGUAAGUAACUAUGCACGUCUUGAUGGUACCUAAUCAGAAAGCCACGGCUAACUACGUG
rnacentral:rRNA from 1 species